AUGUAUGCGAUGACAGGAGCAAGUAAAAAGUAGCACAUGCUAAGAGAGUUGAUUCCAUCGGCUGGAAGAAUCGACCAUCCCUCUACUUUUGAACCCUACUCCUUUAGCUCUGGCAAAAACCAGCGUUUCAUUCAACGUUAUUGAAUGAUUAAGUGGGCAGUUAUUUGUUGCCAACAAAGGUGGUACCGCGGAACCUCUUCCGUCCUUUUU
rnacentral:ncRNA from 1 species